AAAUGAAUAACUUGUUUUACUAAAGCAACCUAUACAGAAGAUACUAUGAAGAAUCAGAUGUUGAUUGUAUUUAUGCUGUUUUUAACAAUAGAUAGUGUGUAUUCUAAUCCUCCUAAACCUUGUAUUUGUCCAGCGGUUUGGGACCCAGUUUGUUCUACAACUGGUAGAACUUUCAGUAAUUCAUGUCAUCUCGGUUGCAGCCGUGCGGUUGCAGCUUGUCAGGGGGAAUGUCCGUGUUAUUCUUAACACCAAUGACAUGAAUUGUACAGAAGACUAAGUGAGAUGGAAUAGUAUAUUUAAUAUAUUUCAAAACAUCAAAGAAUAAAACAAAAUUUGGCAU